GCGACGGGGAUAUGUUCUGGUCGACGAUGCGAGGCUGGAAACGGGGCUGGGUUUGAAGCUUAGAGCUAGGUUGAAGUUUGAGGGUUGGUUAAUUUGCAUAGAAAGGGUCGAGAAGAAAGGGAGAGAGGCUCUUGUGAAUGUUGGUGGUGAUUUGGCAAAACUUGUCCCUAGUCGAGUUUCAACAGAAGUGGAUGCACGACUAGCAUAUGACACACAUGGCAUCAUUAGAAAGGUUCAUGAUCUGUUGAAGCUUUACAAUGAAAUUGAUGUCCCUUCUGAGCGUUUGUUGUUCAAAAUUCCUUCAACUUGGCAAGUAAGUUUCAUGACAAAACAUCUCUAUACCUUAUCUUUAGA